rnacentral:ncRNA from 1 species
AACGUUUGCCCAGAUGCCGGUGCCCGAGAGGGCUGAACGGGAACGUGGAAGCGGCCGACACAACCGGCCUGAUCCACGGCUGCCCCCGCAACUGUAAGCGGCGAGUCGAUUCCGACGUGAGCCAUUGCCUCCAUGUGGGGUGAGAAGGCUGGGACCGACGAGGACCCGCGAGCCAGGAGACCGGCCGGCAUCGAGAGUGCGCGC